GUAUAAGGAUAUGAGACCUAAGCGGCAAAAGCUAAAGAAAAGGCAUUUAGCAAGCUGUACAAGAAGUUGACUAGUAAGGAAGGAGAAAAGGACUCUGUACCGAUUGGACAGACAAAGGGACAGCGCUGGAAAGCUGUGCAGCAGGUUAACUACAUAUGGUAAUGUGCUGACACGCGAGGAGAGUAUGUUGAGAAGGUGGGAGGGAAUAUUUUGAGCAUCUGAUGAAUGAAGAAACUGAGAGAGAAAAGGCUGGCUGAUGUGGAAAUCAGGAAGUACAAGAGAUAGUGAGGAUGAAGUGAGGGGCAGCUAUGAAGUGGAUGAAGAGUGGAAAGGCAGUUUGGUCCAGAUGACAUUUCCAGUGCAGGCAUGGAAAAGUUUUGGAGAGAUGGCAGUGGAAUUUCUAACAAGACUGUUUCAUAAAAUAUUGCAAAGCCAGAGGGAUGCCUGAGGAGUGGAGACGAAGUGUGCUGA